rnacentral:tRNA from 1 species
GGGUAUAGCUCAGUGGUAGAGUGUAUGUAUGCUUAGCAUGCAUGAGGUCCUGGGUUCAAUCCCUGGUACCUCCA